AUUGAACGCUGGCGGCAGGCCUAACACAUGCAAGUCGAGCGGACGAAGGAAGCUUGUUCCUGCAUUCAGCGGGGGACGGGGGAGUGAGUCCUAGGUAUCUGACUCUGCGUGAUGGAUGGGGUCAGCUAAUGGAACCGGAUACCACAACCGCAUAGAGUUGGAAAGGCAGGGAUCUUCAGAUUAGGGCCUCUUUGCUGAGCCUAGGUCGGAUUAGCUAGUUGGUGGGGUAAAGGUAUACCAAGGCGACGAUCCGUAGCCGGUCUGAGAGGAUGAGCAGCCACACUGGAACUGAGACACGGUCCAGACUCCUACGGGAGGCAGCAGUGGGGAAUAUUGCACAAUGGGCGAAAGCCUGAUGCAGCCAUGCCGCGUGUGUGAAGAAGGUCUUCGGAUUGUAAAGCACUUUUAGUGGGGAGGAAGGGAAGUAAGUUAAUACCUUGCCGUCUUGACGUUACCAACAGAAUAAGCCCCGGCUAACUUCGUG
rnacentral:rRNA from 1 species